rnacentral:miRNA from 1 species
CACAUGCAGCACCCCACACACACCCACAGCACCCCCCCACACACACAAACACACCUCACUGCAGUCUGUGUGUGUGGGGGUGCUGUGGGUGUGUGUGGGGUGCUGCAUGUG